rnacentral:rRNA from 1 species
AACGAACGCUGGCGGCAGGCUUAACACAUGCAUGUCGAACGCAUCCUUCGGGGUGAGUGGCAGACGGGUGAGUAACGCGUGGGAACGUGCCCUUCAGUUCGGGAUAACCCAGGGAAACUUGGGCUAAUACCGGAUACGUGCGAGAGCAGAAAGAUUUAUCGCUGAAGGAUCGGCCCGCGUCUGAUUAGCUAGUUGGUGGGGUAAUGGCCCACCAAGGCGACGAUCAGUAGCUGGUCUGAGAGGAUGAUCAGCCACAUUGGGACUGAGACACGGCCCAAACUCCUACGGGAGGCAGCAGUGGGGAAUAUUGGACAAUGGGCGCAAGCCUGAUCCAGCCAUGCCGCGUGAGUGAUGAAGGCCUUAGGGUUGUAAAGCCCUUUCGUCCGGGACGAUAAUGACGGUACCGGAAGAAGAAGCCCCGGCUAACUUCGUGCCAGCCGCCGCGGUAA